rnacentral:rRNA from 1 species
AAGGAAUAUUGGUCAAUGGACGCAAGUCUGAACCAGCCAUACCGCGUGAAGGAUGAAGGUCCUCUGGAUUGUAAACUUCUUUUAUCUGGGACGAAAACGGGAUUUUUAUCUCAAUUGACGGUACCAGAGGAAUAAGCACCGGCUAACUCCGUGCCAGCAGCCGCGGUAAUACGAAGGAUGCAAGCGUUAUCCGGAAUUAUUGGGUUUAAAGGGUGCGUAGGCGGACUAAUAAGUCAGUGGUGAAAGCCUGCAGCUUAACUGCAGAAUUGCCAUUGAUACUGUUAGUCUUGAGUACAGUUGAGGUAGGCGGAAUGUGUCAUGUAGCGGUGAAAUGCUUAGAUAUGACACAGAACACCGAUUGCGAAGGCAGCUUGCUAAGCUGUAACUGACGCUGAGGCACGAAAGCGUGGGGAGCAAACA